rnacentral:rRNA from 1 species
AUUGAACGCUGGCGGCAGGCCUAACACAUGCAAGUCGAACGCGUGGCGGACGGGUGAGUCAUGUCUGGGAAACUGCCUGAUGGCGGGGGAUAACUCCUGGAAACGGUAGCUAAUACCGCAUACCAUCAGCUGUGCCCAGAUGGGAUUCGCUUGUUGGUGGGGUAACGGCUAACCACGGCGACGAUCCCUAGCUGGUCUGAGAGGGGGACCAGCCACACUGGAACUGAGACACGGUCCAGACUCCUACGGGAGGCAGCAGUGGGGAAUAUUGCGCGAUGGGCGAAAGCCUGAUGGAGCCAUGCCGCGUGAGUGAAGAAGGGCUUCGGAUUGUAAAGUACUGUCAUCGGGGAAGCGUUACCCACAGAGGAAGCCCCGGCUAACUCCGUGCCAGCAGCCGCGGUAAUAC